rnacentral:lncRNA from 1 species
AUCUCCCCGGUUACCCUGUCUUCCCGUCUCCUCCCCGCACCCUCCGCUCCCCUUCUUCCCUCUCUUCCCCCUCCGCCAUCAGAGACUCUGGGUUGGGCUGGGCUGUUACUGGGAUGAGACCAGGAAGCACUGUGACCCUGACACUAGCGAGAGCCUGCAGCGUGGGAGGGCGGGAGCAGGCGGGGUGGCCUGGGGGAGCUGGCCGAGGAGGACAUGGCGGCAGAGCGACUCCAUCUCCAGCUGCUGCGUCUGCUCUGUCUAGAGCCCCCUCUAGAGCGAACCUGCACCUCAGGCUUUGAGGACGCUGUCACCUGAGGACAUUUAUCCAGUGGCUGCGGUGACCGUGGCAUCCCUGUCUGGCCUCCGCCCAGUGCCUCAGCCCUUCUCGAGCUGCUCCGUGUGCCCGUCCCGGCGAGCGAGGGACCCGCAGCGGGACCCGCGGCCCCCGCCCCCUCCCGCUCUACGACAGCUCCUCGGGCUCGGUGGCCACGGAGCAGCGCUCAAUCCGCUGUCUGCUCCCGGCUGCGAUGAUGACUGGUUUCCUUGGCGACCUGUCCAGCCCGGCCACCAGCUGCUGGGGCCCCAGAGGUGGGGAGCACUGGUGUCCCCCCCCAGUGGCUGGGCUGCCUCAGCACCACCACCCCCGCCUCUCCAGACCAGAGACAGUGGGCGAUUCCGCGAAGGUCACACAGCGGGGACCCAUCCCGAGCAAAUCCUCUGCCUCGCUUUGGCUACACCCUGCACCCCUGGGGAGGCCCGAGUGGAGGUCCCAGCCGCGCGAGGUGGCACAAGCCUCGUAAUUGCAGCACUGGGGAGGACGAGGCAGGCAGGUCGCGCGAGCUCGAGGGCAGCCUGGGCUACACAGGAAGACCUUGUCUCAAAAAAAAAACAAACAA